CCAAUAGCGUAUAUUAAAGUUGUUGUGGUUAAAAAGCUCGUAGUUGAACCUUGGGCCUGGCUGGCCGGUCCGCCUCACCGCGUGCACUGGUCCGGCCGGGCCUUUCCCUCUGUGGAACCCCAUGCCCUUCACUGGGUGUGGCGGGGAAACAGGACUUUUACUUUGAAAAAAUUAGAGUGCUCCAGGCAGGCCUAUGCUCGAAUACAUUAGCAUGGAAUAAUAAAAUAGGACGUGGGGUUUUAUUUUGUUGGUUUCUAAGACCGCCGUAAUGAUUAAUAGGGACAGUCGGGGGCAUCAGUAUUCAAUUGUCAGAGGUGAAAUUCUUGGAUUUAUUGAAGACUAACUACUGCGAAAGCAUUUGCCAAGGAUGUUUUCAUUAAUCAGGAACGAAAGUUAGGGGAUCGAAGACGAUCAGAUACCGUCGUAGUCUUAACCGUAAACGAUGCCGACUAGGGAUCGGACGGUGUUAUUUUUUGACCCGUUCGGCACCUUACG
rnacentral:misc_RNA from 1 species